rnacentral:tRNA from 1 species
GGUGAUUGUAGCUCAGCUGGUUAGAGUAUCGGUUUGUGGUUCCGAGGGUCGCGGGUUCGAAUCCCGUCUUUCACCC